rnacentral:rRNA from 1 species
CCCGCACAAGCAGCGGAGCAUGUGGUUUAAUUCGAAGCAACGCGAAGAACCUUACCAGGUCUUGACAUCCCUCUGAAUGGCGCUUAGCAGCGCAGGUCUUUCGGGACAGAGGAGACAGGUGGUGCAUGGUUGUCGUCAGCUCGUGUCGUGAGAUGUUGGGUUAAGUCCCGCAACGAGCGCAACCCUUGCCUUUAGUUGCCAGCACGUUAUGGUGGGCACUCUAGAGGGACUGCCGGUGACAAACCGGAGGAAGUGGGAUGACGUCAAAUCAUCAUGCCCCUUAUGAUCUGGGCUACACACGUGCUACAAUGGCCGGUACAACGAGAAGCGAAACCGCGAGGUGAAGCAAAUCUUUUAAAGCCGGUCCCAGUUCGGAUUGCAGGCUGAAACUCGCCUGCAUGAAGUUGGAGUUGCUAGUAAUCGCGGAUCAGCAUGCCGUGGUGAAUGCGUUCCCGGGUCUU